CUCAUAAGUUAUAUUCCUUAUAAUGUAUAAUUAGAAUACGAAUCACUGUAUAACAGAAAAACUAGUUGAAUCUUUUCCCUUCUUUUUUCCACAUCCACAUUCAAUAUGAAUAAUUCCUUUUGAAAUAACACCUCAUUGGUGCAUUCCACUUCCCCAGUAAAAAUGCAUUGUCAAGAAUUAUCAUAAAAGGUAGCUUCAUAACUCAAAAUCCUGCAAACGUCCUUGUUAGUAAUGCUUUAUCUAAAUACCAUUCCCAAUCUGAGUGGAUUAAUCCCAUCCGUUUGCGCGAGUGCCAGGUGUGACACCCAUGGUUAAUCCAAAAAAAAAAA
rnacentral:misc_RNA from 1 species